rnacentral:rRNA from 1 species
UACGUAGGUGGCAAGCGUUAUCCGGAUUUAUUGGGUUUAAAGGGUGCGUAGGCGGAGUGUCAAGUCAGCGGUAAAAUUUCGGGGCUCAACCCCGUCGUGCCGUUGAAACUGACGCCCUUGAGUGAGUGAGAAGUAAGCGGAAUGCGUGGUGUAGCGGUGAAACGCAUAGAUAUCACGCAGAACGCCGAUUGCGAAGGCAGCUUACCGGCGCCCAACUGACGCUGAGGCACGAAAGCGUGGGUAUCGAACAGG